rnacentral:rRNA from 1 species
GACGAACGCUGGCGGCGUGCUUAACACAUGCAAGUCGUACGGUAAGGCCCUUUCGGGGGUACUCGAGUGGCGAACGGGUGAGUAACACGUGAGUAACCUGCCCACAACUUUGGGAUAACGCUAGGAAACUGGUGCUAAUACUGGAUAUGUGCUCCUGCUGCAUGGUGGGGGUUGGAAAGCUCCGGGGGUUGUGGAUGGACUCGCGGCCUAUCAGCUUGUUGGGGGGGUAGUGGCCUACCAAGGCGGCGACGGGUAGCCGGCCGGAGGGGGUGACCGGCCAUACAGGGACUGAGAGACGGCCCAGACACCGACGCGGGGGAGAAGGGGGGAAGAUUGCACAAGGGGCGCAAGCCGGAUGCAGCAAGGCCGCGUGCGGGAUGACGGCCUUCGGGUGGUAGACCGCUUUCAGCAGGGACGAAGCUCUUUGUGACGGUACCUGAAGAAGAAGCACCGGCUAACUACGUG